CAAUAGCGUAUAUUAAAGUUGUUGCAGUUAAAAAGCUCGUAGUUGGAUUUGUGGCGUAUGGUGUGUUCCGGGCACUUGUUGUCUGAGUAACUUGCCAUUGCCAUCCUUGGGUGGAACCUGUGUGGCAUUAGGUUGUCGUGCAGGGGAUGCCCAUCGUUUACUGUGAAAAAAUUAGAGUGUUCAAAGCAGGCUUAUGCCGUUGAAUAUAUUAGCAUGGAAUAAUAAGAUAGGACUUUUUUGCUAUUUUGUUGGUUUGCGCGAGAAGGUAAUGAUUAAUAGGGAUAGUUGGGGGUAUUCGUAUUCCAUUGUCAGAGGUGAAAUUCUUGGAUUUUUGGAAGACGAACUACUGCGAAAGCAUUUACCAAGGAUGUUUUCAUUAA
rnacentral:rRNA from 1 species